rnacentral:sRNA from 1 species
CCAGUUAAAAUUCCUCACAGCAGUUAGUCAGUGUUCUAUCAGCAGUCGUCGUAUUCAGACCAAAUUGGUCUAAAAUUCGUUCGGUGUAGUCGCCUAAAAUCAUGUUUCCUACUUUUGGCCUCGGGGUUCCGGCGAAGGCUGCAGCGAGAGCUCCCAAAUAACAUGCAGCCACGUAAAAUGUGAAAAAAAAUAAUACAAGACCCCCACCAAAAUAAAAAAUAAUAGAGAAGAAUCGACAUGACCGAACACAGAAUGCGAAAUCUUCAUCCGCUUGACCUGCAGCGAGUUACACUCAAAUAGAGACACGGUCACACCGAAGACACCGUCACAAGCCGUGGGUCACACUAAAUAUGGCAUAAACCGAAAACAGGAACCAAAUCCUCAGUGAUAACUCUCGAAAACACAAAUAAACUAACCUCAAAAUUGUUUAAAAUCAAAAGUAUACACCAACUACUGUACAAAUACAUGGAGAGUGAAGAGGAAAA